GCCAAAUUUGUGGCUUUACCGUGUAGCAGCGAUGGGCCAAAUUUGUGGCUUUACCGUGUAGCAGCGAUGGGCCAAAUUUGUGGCUUUACCGUGCAGCAGCGAUGGGCCAAAUUUGUGGCUUUACCGUGUAGCAGCGACGGGCCAAAUUUGUGCCAUGAUAUAAACCCCCCAAAAUAGAUGACACAUAAACUGAUCGCAAAUGCUUUGAUAUAUAUUAUGAAAUGGAUUGUGUGAGUGACGAUUUUUUCUCAUUUUUCUUGCUUAGAGGGACCAUUAAGAGACAUGAUCCCCGCUGCUACCGGGUUAAGAUGCUGUCCAUAACGCUGGUUCUCUUGAAGGGCCUCUUUGACAGCCCUAGCCCACCAGUGGCACAGGCGAAUUUUAUUUACAGUGGGUACCGUGAUGUACGCCUCUUGCUUGGCCCAUGCUGCCCCCCGCUGCUCCACCUGAAUGAAGUCGCUGAAGUUACGGCAGCAUGUGGGUAACCUUCCGCCACUCAGCGAUCGGGGGUUGAAAAUUGUCAGCAUCCUUUGGCGGGACUCAAACUUUGGACCUCAGGCUCACCACUCAGCCACCGUCUCCCCAGCGAUAAAUUAUUAACAACCAGGUUUUAAUGCAGUUCUGUUAUUGGAAGAAAAAUUGAAGUGGCAGCACCCGGGUUCAUGAAUUGGGUGUAGUACUGAAGUUUUACCCUGAGGAAUGAGGUGGCUGGGAGACAUGUAGAGGGAGGGGAAAACACAAGCCAUACCAGUAAAAUUAACCCGGUACCAGCAACGGGCCAAAUUUGUGGCUUUACCGUGUACCAGCGACGGGCCAAAUUUGUGGCUUUACCGUGUACCAGCGACGGGCCAAAUUUGUGGCUUUAUCAUGUACCAGUGACGGGUUGAAGUGACGCUAUCGGCUUCAAUGCAAGGAGGAUAAUGAUGUGGGUGUUCAUUGAUCAUCCUUUUAUAUAGACCGGUCAGGAGCACUAGGGUAACAUGAAGCCAGGUCACGUCAUCAAUCUGGUCAAGCUAAGGUCUCCGAAGAUAGGUCAUGUCAUUCAGGUGUCAGGUGAGGAGCCCUCGGGUAACAAUACAACAUCAGAUGAGGUCUCGGGAUACAGGUCAGGUCAAUCAGGUAACAAUACAACAUCAGAUGAGGUCUCGGGAUACAGGUCAGGUCAAUCAGGUAACAAUACAACAUCAGAUGAGGUCUCGGGAUACAGGUCAGGUCAUUCAGGUAACAAUACAACAUCAGAUGAGGUCCCAGGAUACAGGUCAGGUCAUUCAGGUAACAAUACAACAUCAGAUGAGGUCUCGGGAUACAGGUCAGGUCAAUCAGGUAACAAUACAACAUCAGAUGAGGUCCCGGGAAACAGGUCAGGUCAAUCAGGUAACAAUACAACAUCAGAUGAGGUCCUAGGAAACAGGUCAGGUCAUUCAGGUAACAAUACAACAUCAGAUGAGGUCCCGGGAAACAGGUCAGGUCAUUCCAGUAACAAUAAAACAUCAGAUGAGGUCCCGGGAGAAAGGUCAGGUCAUCCAGGUGUCAGGUCAGGAGCACGCAGGUAACAAUACAACAUCAGAUGAGGUCUUGGGAUACAGGUCAGACCGGUAGACCACACUCUGAAGCAACACCACACUUGAGGCACACCGGGGCAGACCACAAAUACUGCCGUAGACACCAUACUUAAGUCCUUCUCUUCUCGUUCAUGACUUGAGGAAAUUGCGGUUAAUCUACCUAACUAACGCUUCUAAUACACCGAAAAAAUAGCAUGCAUAGGAUACUUCAUUUGCUUCACAUUUAAGGUUUUAGUUAACGAUUCAUACCUAUUUACCGCGUCAACGGCUUAAAUAUGUGGGGAUGCCUUGAAAAUCUCUAAGUCCCCCCCAAAAACCCCGGUUCCCCACAGGUCCCCAGGCUUGUGUUGGGGGGGAGGGGGGGGCUGGGGUGGUGGGGGGGGGGGGGAAAUAGGUGGUUCUGUGGUUUAAUUGCAAAUGUUAGUGAAUGUCUUCCCUCCCUCCCUCCCUCCUUCUCUAUUCUUCCUUUCUUCCCUCUCAAGACGCCUCUCCCUCCUUCAACCACGGGAGGAAGGGGCGUGAAAGGAGGAAAGGGUAGACGAUCCUUUUAACAGUGACUAUGACGACGAUAACAUCCACACACAUGCGGUUUCUUCUUGACAGCAUUAAAAUAAGUAUACAUUCGGCUAUAUGGGUAAGUGGAACAUGACCCAGCCUAUAUAAUACCUCAGCAACCCCAACUUCCAUUUCUUCCUUUCUCUAAGUAAAUACCACAUACCUCCCCACGACAAUUCCCUACAUGAAGCCUUGAGGUCACAGGUAUGAGGUGCCGUGAUGGGGCCGCGUGUCUCCCCCAGGAAAAGGCGUUACGAGUGUGAAAUAACUUGACACUUUCAAUGAUAUUUUUAUUUGGGUCCGCCAUUGAGCUUGACCUUGAUCGUGAUGUCACAGGUGGCUUGAGAUUUCUCCCGUUCUUUUAUUGACCCGGGAGCCGUUGCAAAGGCAUAUCCCGGGACUACACCGGAUCUCUGUAAAUCAAGUUCUAUACUACAUGGUUGAGAUGCGUUAGUGAAGAAACAGAAAAGACACAUUAGUGAAGAAAUAUAAAGAAACAUUAGUGAAGAAACAUUAUUUAUAGUAAAGAAACAUUAGUGAAGGAACAUUAUUUAUAGUAAAGAAACAUUAGUGAAGAAAUAUUAGCAAAAAAACAAUUAAGCACUAGUCAAGAAACAUAGUGAAGAAGCAUGGUGAAGAAAUAUUAGUAAAGAUACAUUAGUAAAAAAAAAAAAAAAAAAAGCAUGACAAGAAGCAUAGUGAAGAAGUAUUAUCCUACCGCAAUUAACAAUAAACUAUCAAUCAAUCAACCAAGCUUUUUAAUUAAGGCUUUUAGAGAGGCUUAUCCCACCCCUUGAGAAGCACCGAUAGAAAGACGGAAAUUGAAAUGUAAACAAUGCAGUGGCGGGCGCGGUGACGGCCACAACCCAAUGACCUCCUUUUUCUGUUCCCGGGCGAGGUGAAAAAGGGUGAACAGUCUCCCGAACAUAAAACAAACUACUAUGAACAUCCCUUUUAUAGAGUUCGGUGAUGGCAAGAAAGAUAACACAUUUGAGGACAGUCAGGACACCACCACACGGGAAAUCUUUGGGGGAAAUCUUUGGUGUCGAGUAAAAAAAAAUGGCCGUUAAUUAGGUAAGGAAAAUGUGGCUUGUUACAGGAGGUUACAGUGGCGUGUGUUGGAGUGUGGAACCGGCCCAGAGUGACGGUUAUUCUUUAGUGACCAUGGACACGACAGCCGAGGGUGGAAGGGACCGAAGAGUGAAGACGAGGGCGAACCAUCGACUGUCAGCGGGGCAGCUUGUGGGAAG